GAUGAACGCUGGCGGCGUGCCUAAUACAUGCAAGUCGAGCGAACAGACGAGGAGCUUGCUCCUCUGACGUUAGCGGCGGACGGGUGAGUAACAAGUGGAUAACCUACUUAUAAUACUGGGAUAACUACGGGAAACCGGAGCUACUACCGGAUAAUAUAUUGAACCGCUUGGUUCAAUAGUGAAUGACGGUUUUCCUGUCACUUAUAGACGGAUCCGCGCCGGAUUAGCUAGUUGGUAAGGUAACGGCCUACCAAGGCGACGAUGCGUAGCCGACCUGAGAGGAUGAUCGGCCACACUGGAACUGAGACACGGUCCAGACUCCUACGGGAGGCAGCAGUGGGGAAUCUUCGGCAAUGGGCGAAAGCCUGACGGAGCAACGCCGCGUGAGUGAUGAAGGUCUUCGGGUCGUAAAGCUCUUUUAUUAGGGAAGAACAAAUGUGUGAGUAACUAUGCACGUCUUGACGGUACCUAAUCAGAAAGCCACGGCUAACUACGUG
rnacentral:rRNA from 1 species